AGGGAAGAGCUCAAAUUUAAAAUCUGGCUGUCUUUGGCAGUCCGAGUUGUAGUUUAGAGAAGUGUUAUCAGCGCUGGCCUGUGCAAAAGUUUCUUGGAAAAGAACAUCAUAGAGGGUGACAAUCCCGUCUUUGGCACAGAUUACCGGGGCUUUUGUGAUGCGCUCUCAAC
rnacentral:rRNA from 1 species